rnacentral:rRNA from 1 species
AUGCCUGGGCUCGCACCGAGUGGGGCGUUUGUCCACACCUCCUCCGCCUCCUCUGUUCCGCGCCCACCCCCAUGGCGGCGGUUCCCUGGGCGUCCGCCUGCGUCGUCCACGCGCACCUCCGGCGCGUCGUGCGGGGCCGAGCUCAGCAGGGAGGGGCCGACGUCGCGCCCUGCACAGCAGCAGCGGCUGUCCCCUCCGCUCGUGCCCGGCUCCGGCGCGUCGUGCGGGGUCACUCCGUCCCCGACGCAGCCGCCCCUGCCGGACGCCAGCGUGGGGGAACUCGUGCCCAACCUCGAGUCCUUCCUGACGCAGCCGCCCCUCCCAGGCACCGGCCGACGAGCCUCCAAGCACCGGCGCUCGUCAUCGCCGUAUCUCCUGUGCAGGCAUAUCUGGAGGUAG